UCUGUCCCCGCUGCGUGCCCACAAUGCCAGUCCGCGACAAUUGGCUGCACAAAAGACUCUGGAGUGUAAUCGCAUUGUCCGGCUCGUCUGAAUGCUCGUCUUUCACGGUGCCUGUAGCGGACACGCCACCAACCAUCAGGCAGAAUGUCAUAUGGGUCCAUUGAUGGAGGGUCCUUAGGCAGUCGCAACCCAUUUGGAGGUCCUACGAGUCAGGGCUACCAGCCAGUAGCCACACAGGUCAGCUCCUCAGAACUGCAAGAUGUGUUUCAGGAGACCUCCUCCAACAUCUUCCAGAUCAACGCCAACGGUAAAACGAC